GAUGAACGCUGGCGGCGUGCCUAAUACAUGCAAGUCGAGCGAACAGACGAGGAGCUUGCUCCUCUGACGUUAGCGGCGGACGGGUGAGUAACACGUGGAUAACCUACCUAUAAGACUGGGAUAACUUCGGGAAACCGGAGCUAAUACCGGAUAAUAUAUUGAACCGCAUGGUUCAAUAGUGAAAGACGGCUUUGCUGUCACUUAUAGAUGGAUCCGCGCCGCAUUAGCUAGUUGGUAAGGUAACGGCUUACCAAGGCGACGAUGCGUAGCCGACCUGAGAGAGUGAUCGGCCACACUGGAACUGAGACACGGUCCAGACUCCUACGGGAGGCAGCAGUAGGGAAUCUUCCGCAAUGGGCGAAAGCCUGACGGAGCAACGCCGCGUGAGUGAUGAAGGUCUUCGGAUCGUAAAACUCUGUUAUUAGGGAAGAACAAAUGUGUAAGUAACUAUGCACGUCUUGACGGUACCUAAUCAGAAAGCCACGGCUAACUACGUG
rnacentral:rRNA from 1 species